GCAUCACACAGGUUGGAGUCAAUUUCCAGUUAAAGCAACAAAAAUAUAACUAAAGGCCCAACACUAUAUCAACUAGGCUUACAUAGAAGCCAAUAAAACACCUUUAGUACACAAAACAGAGCUACUUCCCCAACUAGCUUGGGCAAGCAACGGAAUUUUGAACCAUUAUAAACUGACCAAAGUAUGAACCAGUUGCAUGCUCAGCGUGAAUUCUUGCCGGUGCUGUCCAUAUCAAGAAUUUUCAAUCAAUCUAAGCUAUUUACAUUUUUUAAAGUAUAUCUGAAAGGCUUAAAAUAGUGGAAUCAAAUGUUCCAAUCAAGUACAAUGGAAUACCUGAACAUCUUCCUAAAAUAAUAACAAAGAAAAAAACAUAGUAGUACUUGUAAGUAGUAACAUGCUCAACCGACAUCAAAGUACUAUUCAAUUCGAAUCCGACAGUUGUAGAAUGCCUAAACAGCAACGGCCAAAAGAGGCUGCAAGUAAUAACAACCAUAAGAUAUGGCAACAACCAAGAAUAAAAUGAGCUAGAAAAGGAAGUUAUAUUUUCCAAACACACCAGAUCACCAAGUGUAUGAUCUCGUAUUUGAGCGACAGAAUGCUUUUUUGUAGGUUUCUGGCCCGAGGUCAUGAUCAAAGUGGUGAUAGUUGAACAUAAAAAAAAAGAAUAAGGGAAAAAAAAACUAACCUUUUUAAAUUUGUAUUCCUUCCAUAAAGUAUCUGGUUAAGUGAUGACAGCUGAACAUAAAAAAAAAGAAUAAAAUAAGACUAAAUAUAAUGAAAAAAUUAUAAAUUAAUAGCAGAAUUAGAAGACUACUAGUUAAACUUUCUCGGAUGCUCCUGCCAACAAAUCUCAUUUGUGAGCUUUAUACUCGGCAACAAAAUCUCGUAAUGUUGACAGAAAAGAUCAUAAAUAUCCGUGAGAGAGUUAACCUACAAAAAUAUGAAUCAUUUUCCACACUACUCGUGUUCAUCUAACAUGUUCAAGUCCCUACUCCUUUACAAACUGCUAAACAUACUUCUCUUAACACUCAAUCAAUGAUUACUAGAGAUAAAGCUGGGAUUUCAAAACAAAAAAUAUGCAAUUCUGCUUACCUUGAUAUUGACUUAACACAAGAAAUUCCUAAAACCGUCAAACAGGCUGUUAAUUGCCCACACUGGUUCAAGACAAUGCAGGACGAGUAUGAUGUUUUGAUUAAAAAUAACACAUGGACUCUUGUUGAUCCUCCAUCCAAUGUACCAUCAUUGGUUGCAAAUGGGUGUUUGCAAUCAAAAGAGCUCCUGAUAAUUCUAUAAUUAGAUACAAAGCAAGGCUUGUAGGAAAGGGCUUUCAUCAAUAGGGAGGGAUUGACUAUAAUCAGAUUUUUAGCCCUGUGAUUUGGCCCUCUACUAUUAGAUUAGUUUUAAAUAAUAAAUAAAUUAUAAUUAAACACCCUGAAAUAUAAUUAUAGUUUAAUAUAAAUCUUAAAAUAUCAAAAGUACAUCAGCAACCUUAAAACAGCAACACCAGUAUAUUAUCGAACAGCAACAAUGAAACAGCAACACAUUAUAAAACACUAAAACAGCAACAUCAGUACAUUAUCAAAACACUAAAACAGCAACACUAGUACAUUAGCAACACCAUUCAGCAAAGCAGUGAUGACACUAAACUAAACACUAAAAACAGCAAAAUCAGUAUAUUAUACAACAUAUCAAAAGUUCAAAACAGAACAUUCAGUAACCAAGCAUUAGCAUUAGCAAGAAAAUGAUGACACUAAAUUAAACACUAAAAAUAGCAAAAUCAGUAAAUUAUAUAACAUCAAAAGUUCAAAACAGAGCAUUCAGUAACCAAGCAUUAGCAUUAGCAAGGGAAUGAUGACACUAAAUUAAAUAGAACAUUAGCAAGGAAGUGAUGACACUAAAACACUAAAAACAAUAAAAUCAGUACAUUAUACAACAUAUCAAAAGUUCAAAACAGAGUAUUCAGUAACCAAACAUUAGCAUUAGCAAAGCAGUGAUGACACUAAAUUAAAUAAGCAAAUUAUUUUUUCAAUGAAUAAAAAGAACAACUAAUUAUGGAAGAGAAAAAAAAGCAUGAAUAUAUGAUUACUGAUAAGAAGAAAUUGUGAUAGAUGAGUGAUUGUUGAAAGAGAAAAGAGAGUGAAUAGGAGCAGAGCAGCAUUAUAAUUGAGCUUUAGGUUAAGCAAACCCAUGAUGCUGUUCCAGAAUUCAAGAGAAAGAGGAGAUUCCAUUAAGAUUACACAACAACUCAGCAACACAUCACUAAUCAAUAAUCAUAAUACAUUCAAAAUCAAUAAUCAGUAAAUUAAAAUCACAAGUUCAAAGAUAGUCUUAAUUCUUGAUCUAAUUUUAAUCUGAAAAUGCUAUUGUGGGGCAAAAUACAUACCUAUGUAAUUUUGUAUCAUCAUAAUGUAGCAUUAGUUGUUUGGGUUUUGGUGCUUCUAAUAAUUUCUGCAGCAGCUAUAAUCUUCUUAGUUACCACAGAAGGACGACGAUGGCAAGACGACGAAGACACGACGACGACACAGCAGCCGGAAGCCUCGAACACGAACAGCGAAGUCACCGGGGGAAUGGACGACGUGCCGAGCCCGAGCUAGAAGAGAAGGUCUGGCAGUAUGGGUUUGGGACAGGGGAAGGAGGAGGCCGCGGAGACGCCGACAACCACUGACGGCGGCGGCGGUUCCGUUGACGAGGCUGGGUUUUUAACCGGUCCGGUUUUCAGAACAUUGCAUACCAGUGGUGGUCAUUCAUCAAGGAUGAAUUUAUCAUGAUAUUUAGAUGCAUUUUUGAAGAGUUGAAAAAGGUACAUGUAAUGGACGGUUUUCAUGGAAGGUUAACCAAUUUAUGCAUCAAAGUUCAAAGAGUCGGCCAUGGACAAUUUCGUGGUCUGCUGACUAAUUUUCAAAGCCACCGUAAAGAGUCAAUUCAACAAAUGCAACUAGAGGAUAUCAGAGCACUGAAGAACAUCAUUUUGGAGGUGAUAAACCGUCCUUUUGGACAGGGUAAUCCGGCGAUGAAUCGUGAGGUUGAAGACCAAUAUAUCUCUCAGCUUGACUUCCCCUUACAAAAAUGAUAUAAUUUUUUUCCCCUUUUAUCAUUGUGUUUUUUUCUCUUAAAAGUGAUUAUUUUCAUUCAGUUGUCUCACCAAGAUAAUGAGAAGAUGAGCAAUAGAUCCUGUCUUGUUCUCGAGCACCGUCAGAAAAAUUCAGUUUCUACAGACUGUGCAUUGACUGUUCUUCCGAAAUAGGAGUGUCCAUUUCCAUAUUAACAAACACUACAAUUUGUUUCAUCCAUGAAAUUUUGAAGAGUGAGUGCAGAGAUGACGGUUGUUUAUCAUCACGAAAAUAGAGAACACCAGUAUAACACGAGUCAAAGCAUUAUCCGAUUUUAUCGGAACUACUUGCACCAUCUCCGGUACACCGACGAAGAUACGGUACUUGAAAUUUUUUAUUUGUUUGAUUUGUUUUUUUUAUAAUAUAUUAUUAUACAUAUAUAUUGUGAGAGUGGUAAAACAGUUAUGACAAAGUUGGCCAGUUAUCUAUGCCAUUGUCUACAUGAUUCACCAUUCUUUGUCAUAACUGUUUUACCACUCUCACAAUAUAUAUGUAUAAUAAUAUAUUAUAAAAAAACAAAUCAAACAAAUAAAAAAUUUCUAAGUACCGUAUCUUUGUCGGUGUAUCAGAGAUGUGCAAGCAGUUCCGAUAAAAUCGGAUAAUGCUUUGACUCGUGUUAUACUGGUGUUCCCUAUUCUCGUGAUAAUAAACAACAGUCAUCUCUCAGAUAUGGUUUUCAAAAUUCUAUGAAGAAAACAAACUAGUAUUUGUUAAUAUAGAAAAGGACACUCCUAUUACGGAAGAACAGUCAAUGCACAGUCCGUAGAAACUGAAUUUUUCUGGCACCAGAACAAAACAGGAUCUAGUGCCCAACUUCUCAUUAUCUUGGUGUUGCAACUAAAUGAAAAUAAUCACUUUUAAGAGAAGAAAAAAACACAAUGAUAAAAGGGAAAAAAAAUUAUACCGUUUUUGUAAGGAGAAGUCAAGUUGAGAGAUACAAUGGUCUUCAACCUCACGAUUCGUCGCUGGAUUACCCUGUCCAAAAGAACGGUUUAUCACCUCCAAGAUGAUGUUCUUCAGCGAUCUGAUAUCCUCUAGUUGCAUUUGUUGAAUUGACUCUUUAUGGUGGCUUUAAAAAUUAGUCAGCACACCACGAAAUUAUUCAUGGCCGACUCUUUGAACUUUGAUGCAUAAUUUGGUUAACCUUCUAUAAAAACCAUCGAUUACAUAUAUCUUUUACAACUCUUCAAAAAUACAUCUAAAUAUCAUAAUAAAUUCAUCUUUAAUGAAUGACCACGGAUCUCCUUUCGACUUAUAUCUAGCUUCCAUCCAACCCCUUAAAGUAUAUGUGUCUCCCAUGAUGCCUUUUCUUCACAAGUCAGAGAAAACAAUUUAUUAAUGACAGCAACAAUCAAGUUUUAGACUUGACACUUUAAUGCUCCUUCAUUGUGUUACUCAAUAAAUCACCAAAAAUAGUCACAAUCCAAGCACAUGUAAAUCACAAAAGAGUCAAACAAGCACAACAAGUCAGCAACACAGCACUAAUCAACAAUCACAAGACAUUCAAAAUCAACAAUCAAUUAAUUAAAAUCACAACACAAAAACAGCAGCACAGACCUUCGAAAUAAUCAAUAAUCAACAAUCAAUAAACAGCAGCAGACCAGAGCAAACCAACAAUCAAAUAAUCAUUCAACAAAAAUUAACAACACACAACUAGUCAACCAGACCUUCGAAAGACAGGAACAGAGCAUAAAAAAUACCUCAAUUAACUAAUUAUCCAACAGAAUCAACAAUACCUCAAUUGUAAUUUCAGUAUCAAUCCUGGGGCUAGACAGAAAUGUAGGUACAAUCUAGGUACAAUUAAAUCACAAAUCAAAACAGUAAAACACAACACACAAAAUCAGUAAAGAACCAGAGCCAAUCACAAAGAAAUUAAAAGAAGAAAGCUACAAAAGUACAAACAAUCAAUUGCUUUUUCAGAUUUCAACAAAUUCAAAUUAUCUACUUUCUAGUACUUUCUUUAGUUACUAUUAUUUAAUAACAUUUAAAAUAUUAUAACAUUAUUCUAAUGCAAGAUUAGAGUGUACUCAUUCUAUCUAGAACACCAUUCCAUCCUAAUACUUUAACAAUGUAUGUUAUUGUUACUAAUGCACCUUUAAUUAUAGAAUUACAUACAUCAGCCAUUACAAUAAUUACAGCAAAAUUCAGAAUUACAGCAAUUUAAAAUCUAAAAUGAUAUUAAUUUUGUCCAAAAUUUAAAAUUAUAUCAAAAUUCUAUAUAGCAUUCAAAAUCCAGAAUCCAAAACCGAAUUUAUAUCAAAAUUAUAUUCAGCAAAAUUCAGAAUUACAGGACUCUAUUUCUUUAUGCAAAAUUCAAUCAAAUACAGUCAGCUUCCUAUUAUUUCUUUAAGCUCAUCUUUUGGUUUCAAUGUAGUCAGAGAACUCUAUUUCAUAGUUCUAUACUUCUAUUCUAGCAAAAAUCAGGUAUUGUCAAUCAAUAUUAGUACCAAAAGGUUUAAGGAAAAAACCAAAUAAUUCUCAAAAUUUAUUGUUUGCUUUGCUUGAAUCUUGGUUUGGCACAUCUUGAAGUUCUUUAGAGGCAAUUGUAUAAAAAUAUAAAAUGCUCUUCUAUCAAAAUCUUCACCUAUAUUUUACCUCAAGCAAAUCACCAUAUGUGCACAACGAUGCCUAAUGAAUAUCGGGGGAAAGACAAUAAUAUAUAUAGAAGACUGGUGCAAGGUUUGACACACACUUAAAUCUCAAGCAGCAUUCUCAAACACAAUUGAAAUUGCAUACACAGUAAUUAUAUUCUUGCAGUGUUGAUGAAGAAGGGCUAUGACAUGCAUGAUUGCAGAAACAGGAACGAAAAGAAUUUUAAAUUUGACCAUGAUCCCCAAUUUAAAUUUGAAAUUUCAAUACGCCCACACCUUCAGAUAGAAACGGUUCUUAAUUGAGAUCUGAUUACACAAUUGAUUAAGUAAGCAAACCCUAUAAUAAUUACAUGAGCAAAAGUUAACAAAAUAAAAAUAAAUUAAUUGAAAAACUCAAGAAUUCACUGUGGCAGAGAGAGUAGAGAAGGGUCGAGACGACAAGAAAAGGAAUGGUUACUGAAGAACUCACCAACCAGCCGACGACAAGAAAAGGAUCGCGACGGUGAGGUUGAGAUGUCGUCGAAGGCGCACCGUUUCCGGCGGAACGAAGAAGACGACACGCCGGCGGUGAGGUGAGGUUUUCUUGAACUAUCGUGUGAUGAGGAGAUGAGGUGAGGAAGACUUGGAGGGUUACUGCCGUAUGUAUA
rnacentral:lncRNA from 1 species